rnacentral:tRNA from 1 species
UUAAUGUUUUAGGUUAAUAAAACCUUUAGCCUUCAAAGCUAAUAAUAGAGAAUGUUUCUAAACAUUA